CGUACGUCAACGAAGAGAUGUGGAAUCGUUUUGGACAGCCGAAAUUGCAACCGACCGGUAUUAAUGAUGACUCAAAAGGCUAUUUCUUAAAGUCAUAGU